AAAUAUUAAUUCAAUAGUUGAAUAUUCAUUUACAUUGAAUAAUUAAUCGUGCAAUUCGGUAGUAUUUA
rnacentral:tRNA from 1 species